CCCUUAGAUGUCCUGGGCCGCACGCGCGCUACACUGAACGGAUCAGCGCGUUUUCCCUUCCCGAGAGGGACGGGUAACCUGCUGAACCCCGUUCGUGGUAGGGAUCGGGGCUUGCAAUUAUUCCCCGUGAACCAGGAAUGCCCAGUAAGUGCAAGUCAUAAGCUUGCGUUGAUUACGUCCCUGCCCUUUGUACACACCGCCCGUCGCUACUACCGAUUGAACGGUCCGGUGAAAUCUCGGGACGGCGGCUUGGUCGCUUGCGUCCGACUGCUGAAACUUGAUUAAACCAUAUCAUUUAGAGGAAGGUGAAGUCGUAACA
rnacentral:rRNA from 1 species